rnacentral:lncRNA from 1 species
GGGAGGUGGGUAUGAGGGCAGCAGGGGAGAUAACAGCCUUGAGAAGCAGAAUCUUAGUUUGGGGCUUUCCUCUAUGACUUAGUCUUUGAUGUUGAGGACACAGAUCAUAUCCCACCAGCCUCAACUUCCCCAGGACUAAGUCUAACAUUAGAAAGCAUGGUGACCUUUAUUUCCCCAGCUCCUGGAGAGAAAGAUAAUGUUUGUUGCUUUGAACAUGGAGAAGUCUACAAGAAAGAAAAUAUGAGAAGCUUGGGCAGAGAGAUUGAAUAUAGACAACCUAUCAAGGCAAGAGACAGUGAAAACACCACUCAAGCCAAGUGA